rnacentral:tRNA from 1 species
GGAGAGGUUGCCGAGCGGUUUAAGGCGGCGGUCUCGAAAACCGUUGUGGGGGUGACCUCACCGGGGGUUCGAAUCCCCCCCUCUCCGCCA